AGGCUUAACACAUGCAAGUCGAGGGGCAGCAUGGUCUUAGCUUGCUAAGGCUGAUGGCGACCGGCGCACGGGUGAGUAACACGUAUCCAACCUGCCGUCUACUCUUGGCCAGCCUUCUGAAAGGAAGAUUAAUCCAGGAUGGCAUCAUGAGUUCACAUGUCCGCAUGAUUAAAGGUAUUUUCCGGUAGACGAUGGGGAUGCGUUCCAUUAGAUAGUAGGCGGGGUAACGGCCCACCUAGUCAACGAUGGAUAGGGGUUCUGAGAGGAAGGUCCCCCACAUUGGAACUGAGACACGGUCCAAACUCCUACGGGAGGCAGCAGUGAGGAAUAUUGGUCAAUGGGCGAUGGCCUGAACCAGCCAAGUAGCGUGAAGGAUGACUGCCCUAUGGGUUGUAAACUUCUUUUAUAAAGGAAUAAAGUCGGGUAUGCAUACCCGUUUGCAUGUACUUUAUGAAUAAGGAUCGGCUAACUCCGUGCCAGCAGCCGCGGUAAUACGGAGGAUCCGAGCGUUAUCCGGAUUUAUUGGGUUUAAAGGGAGCGUAGAUGGAUGUUUAAGUCAGUUGUGAAAGUUUGCGGCUCAACCGUAAAAUUGCAGUUGAUACUGGAUGUCUUGAGUGCAGUUGAGGCAGGCGGAAUUCGUGGUGUAGCGGUGAAAUGCUUAGAUAUCACGAAGAACUCCGAUUGCGAAGGCAGCCUGCUAAGCUGCAACUGACAUUGAGGCUCGAAAGUGUGGGUAUCAAA
rnacentral:rRNA from 1 species